rnacentral:lncRNA from 1 species
CGACCUGGGCACUGCUAGGCUGCAAGUGGAGAAUCAAGUUUCAGGACUGGUUCCACUUACAAUAAAAUAGGGAGCCCGAAAGGAAGCCCUACAAAUCUCACUGAAAAAAUGUGAUCCAAAGGCCCAGUCUGAAGCCGUGUCUGCCUGCUCCUACCCGACCUGGCUCUCUCUAGGGAUCUUGCUCUCCUGCCUCUGGACCCUCCAUUACUCCUGAGACGUCUUUCUCUGGGACAAAGCCCCAGGUUACCUCCUCGUGAUGGAGAGACAAAGGAGGCCGCUGAGCUACCUUCCUCCGGAGCACCAUCCCUGUUCCUCUGAAUGAGAUUCCCAUUCCACCCGAGAGAGAGCAGAAACCCUUCCUUCUUGACCACGCGGUCCAUUCCAACCCCUCGCAUACCCAUUUCUCUUCUUUCCAGGAACAAAUGACCUCCACAGACAGGAAGGCAGCCUGGAGGUUCAUGAAGAGGCCCCAGGGGGCCACGACCCUCUCCCUUCCCUGAAGAUCCCGCUCAGGGCUGGUCUUUCCUUUACCAAGACAGACUUGAAAACAAGCCCAUUCUAAGUUUUACUCACAAGUUUCUCUGGUCAAGGGCCUGGAGAGACUGACUAGAAGCCUAC